AAUAGAGUUAAUAGAAUAACAAAUUAGCCACUUAAUCUAUUUAUACAAGAGUUGACAUUAGUAUGUUAUGUGUUCAAAUCAUUUUCAAUUAGAUUGGUGCUUAAAUGAAAAUAAAACCGAUCACGGGAGAAGCUGCUGGUUUCUAGGAUCUGUUCAUAGUGUACGGCAACCUCUAUCAGAGUAAUGUAUUAGGUAAUUUAAAUGUACUGUCCUCAGGGAUGUGAUGGACGACGGUGACCUCUCGCGUCCGGCUCUGGUUCAUGACAUGGUAAGGAGCGACGGGCACUGGGAUCCUUCUUCCGCCCCAGCCGCUGCAAGUGCAAAUUCCCGGACAGCUACCGAGGGUAGCUCACCGCCCAACCAGAACUAGGCCCGUGCGUACGGUGCGUUGCUCUCCAUGCGCGCCUCUAAGAGCCAUCAGACCGCCACAGAGUGAGCCCAGCGGGGCUGAAGCCUAAAUUGGAGCUGCGAACGGCCUAGCGGAUUACCGGGGCUCCGGGACACGAAGCAGAAGUUGGGACGGGGUGACACUUCCUCCCUCAAAAAAGUAAUUAAAAUGUUCAAAAACAAAAAAAGAAAAAUGAAAGCAAAGCGAGCAAGCUGCUAAUGUGCUGGCCGUCGAUGCCAACAAUUGUGCGGAUCGACUUGAAAAUCUUGUCCCAUAGUUCUGGUUAGGUUUAGCAAUAUUAUCCUUGUGCUUGCGUUACUGUAAUUGCCCAACUUAAUGACACUACGGAGAAGGAAGGAAGGAAAACUGAAGACAUGAAAUAAAGUAAUAAUAAUUGGACUACUUUAAUUAUUAAACGGCUUUAUUUAGCUUGCCGCAUUUGUUUGUGUUGGUUUGUUUGGGUUUAAUAAGUAAGUGGAACUUUAUCUGUCAGUCGUCAGGAAGGAAUCGCUAAGUCUAUCGAUUUGAUAUUUGUGUGAAGUGUCGCAUUUAGCGCUGACGUCAAAUAUCUGGGUCUGCAUAUCAGUUGUCAACUUGUCAGUUUAAAGUGGCGUGUUUAGAUAACCAGUGUUUGCAAAAUGGUUACUGGUUCCUGGCGGGUUCUGUAUCGCCUAAAACAUUGGCUACAUAGCCUUCGUAUUAGGCCUUGGUUUACCCUAUUUAUCGAUUAUGCUACUGCAAUCUGAAUACAUAUCUCCUUAGUAAUCUUGACCGACUUCUGAAUAACUGAAUUCGAUUCGUCUUUCAUGACCGAUGUUAGAACCAACAGCCGAUGUAGCGUAUGUCGGACAGACCCACGACGGGAAGAGUGGACACGCCACACGAGUGUCACCGCCCCCCCCCCCGCGCCCCGCGUGCCUCCGCCGUGUACCGGAACAAAUAGAGGAAUUAUUACUUUUGAUUGAAUUUAAUGAGAGCCACAUGCCGGCGAUGUAUGGAAGUACUCCGUUUGAUUGGUUUGCGUUGUGACGGAGCGCGGCGUGCAGCACUGUCCGCAGCAAGCACGGUGCGGCAGUGGGGCGGUUGUGCGGCGGCAGUGCGGCGGUUGUGCGGCGGUAGUGCGGCGGCAGUGCGGCGGCAGUGCGGCGGUAGUGCGGCGGCAGUGCGGCGGCAGUGCGGCGGUAGUGCGGCGGCAGUGCGGCGGUAGUGCGGCGUUAGUGCGGCGGCAGUGCAGGCGCGCUCCACCGAGACACGUGCACUCUCUUCUAAUUAGGAGCGAGCACGUCGUCCAGUUCUUAUUCCAGUUUAGUGCCGCUUGUCGAGUAAAUGCCACAUUAUUUCGAUUAGCAACGUGGCACGCUCGACUGCCAUUCAAUACAUUAGUACGAGUUUGUUAAUACAAUGUGAAGUUUCAUUCAACAAGCUGAGAACUCGUGACCUGAGUGCUAUACCUACGGCGGCGGUUCAAGCCGGUUUAAAUUCAUAAUAAUUCAUUGUUUAUAAAAUUAUUUAAAUUAUUGCCCCUUAAUUUCCCUAACAUAGCAUCAUCACAAUAAUAUCAUGGUCUCCCGAUGAUGAGAAUAAAGGUGCUUUUCCACCAGAAAUGCGUUAUAUGCUAUGCUACGAAGAUGUAAUAGCUAAGCUAUGAAGCUAUGUGACCGUUUCCACUGAUACUAAGCCGUGUAGCUGUGCAAGGAAGAUGCUCAGCUCGAUUAUGCGAUGUAUCGAUAAAAGGAAAGCCAUCUAUAGUCCACAUCCAUAGCACGCAUCCAUAGCACGCAUAUUUCCAUACAAAAAACAUAGCUUAGCUGAGUCCGUUUUUAUCAGUGGUUAGAUAAGAAGCUAAGCAGCAAUGGUCCUACACCGAUGUGUUAUGAUGAUGAUUGGUGCACAUAGCUUAUGAGUAGAAUAUAAUUGGUGAAAACCAACCGCAUCCUCAGCAACGUAGCACCGCACAUCAUCGUUGCGAAUCAUAUUUCCAACAAAACAAACCCGUUCAAACUGGACCUCCUCCUCUCCUCCUUUUUUAAAUUACGUUACAACAUAGAUUGCACGUACAUAAUAUUAGUAUAAUAUUAUUAAUCCAUAUUAGCUUCUUACCAAAAUAUUAAAAAUACUAGCUUUUGCCCGCGACUUCGUCCGCGUGGAAUAAUGAUAUCUGGCAGAAUUUGAGUUUUUUUAUUUGUAUUUUCCAAGUUAUACUAUUCUACGACUACAGUAAGUGUGGGAGAGCCAAGCUUUGGCACGAAUGGGCCGGCUCCACAGGAGUGAUACCACGGCGUCACAGGAGUGCUACAACGGCCUCACAGAAAACCGACGCGAAACAAUUAAUUAAUUUUAUUUAUUUUAUAUUUUUUUUUUCAAUUUAAUAUUUUGAAAUGUUAUCAACAAGUAUAGUAAAUAAAUAAAUAAUUAAUUA